GUGCUCAUUUGGGCAGCACACAUACUGAAAUUGGAAUCAUACAGAGAUUAGUAUGGCCCUUGCAUGAGUAUAACAUGAACAUUCAUGAAGCCUUCUAUACUUUU